ACGGAGGAUCCGAGCGUUAUCCGGAUUUAUUGGGUUUAAAGGGAGCGUAGGCGGGUUGUUAAGUCAGUUGUGAAAGUUUGCGGCUCAACCGUAAAAUUGCAGUUGAUACUGGCGACCUUGAGUGCAACAGAGGUAGGCGGAAUUCGUGGUGUAGCGGUGAAAUGCUUAGAUAUCACGAAGAACUCCGAUUGCGAAGGCAGCUUACUGGAUUGUAACUGACGCUGAUGCUCGAAAGUGUGGGUAUCAAACAG
rnacentral:rRNA from 2 species